UGGGGAAUAUUGGACAAUGGGCGGAAGCCUGAUCCAGCCAUGCCGCGUGUGUGAAGAAGGCCUUUUGGUUGUAAAGCACUUUAAGCGAGGAGGAGGCUACUUGGAUGAAUACUCUAGGAUAGUGGACGGUACUCGCAGAAUAAGCACCGGCUAACUCUGUGCCAGCAGCCGCGGUAAUACAGAGGGUGCGAGCGUUAAUCGGAUUUACUGGGCGUAAAGCGUGCGUAGGCGGCUUCUUAAGUCGGAUGUGAAAUCACUGAGCUUAACUUAGGACUUGCAUUCGAUACUAGGUAGCUAGAGUAUGGUGGAGGAUGAUAGAAUUCCAGGUGUAGCGGUGAAAUGCGUAGAGAUCUGGAGGAAUACCGCUGGCGAGGGCAGCCAUCUGGCCGAAUACUGACGCUGAGGUACGAAAGCAUGGGGAGCAACCAGG
rnacentral:rRNA from 1 species